rnacentral:lncRNA from 1 species
AGCUAACAGCGCAGCCCAGCUAGACCCUAAGUGGAGUCUUCGUGCUCCUUUGUACGUCAACCAUCCAGGGGAGCCUCGUAGCCCUCCGGUCGAUUUGACGGCCGGAGAGAGCCCGAGCCGCCUGUAAGUUGUGUCCCCCGUGUUGCCCUAGUUUGCCUAGACCCAUUCCUCCCUCCACUUCGCCUCGCCGCCGCGAGGUAAGAUAGCUUCGCGCCCUGUUGUCGCCGCGUCCGCCGUGCUCCGGCUGAGCAGCAGCUCGGGCCCGGAGUUGAUCUUCAUCGCUCCCUCUCCCUCUGGUGCACGCGAAGGGAUCCUCCCCAUGCUCCUCUCUGUCUUCGACGGCUCGCGGGGCCCCAAGGAGUCGCCUCGAUGUUGUUUGCUUCCUCUUCUUCUCAGGCAGAACCGGUUCGGAAGUGCGCCGGACUUCAGCAGCUCGCCAUCACAUUCUCAAGCCUCUUUCGACAUCGUCUUCGUGCCCUAGGUGAGGUGGUAUGACCCCCCUCUUCCUUCCCCCUGUCCAUAGCGUCGAUCCGGCCAUCCGUAAGCGUAGAUCCGGCCGUGACAUCGUCGUGCUCGACGCGCUCCCGUUCUCUUCUGUGAAGAUGAUCUUCAGUAAAGAAAGCUGCGGUUGUACCCCCCCCCNNNNNNNNNNNNNNNNNNNNNNNNNNNNNNNNNNNNNNNNNNNNNNNNNNNNNNNNNNNNNNNNNNNNNNNNNNNNNNNNNNNNNNNNNNNNNNUGGUUUGCCCUUUAUUUGUUUUUGGGUUCUAGCACUGGUUUGCCCUUUAUUUGUUUCUGGGUUUUUUUUCCCGUCUGUAGAGCGUGGAAGUUCGGUUAGAUAAUACUCUUAGAGCAGGCGGCCCUGCACAGUUGUGCUUACCUCUGAGAUAUAGACACAGGUGGCGGGUUCAAACCCCACCACUCCCUUUUAGUUUUGUCCGUUAAUAUGUUGUAUUAUGCCACUCACAAGUGGGACACACGGUCCACAUGUCAUGCACAGAUUGUUUUUGGGUUCUAACCCUGGUUUGCCCUUUAUUUGUUUCUGGGUUUGUUUCCCGUCUGUAGAGCGUGGAAGUUCGGUUAGAUAAUGCUCUUAGAGCAGGCGGCCCUGCACAGUUGUGCUUACCUCUGAGAUAUAGACAGAGGUGGCGGGUUCAAACCCACCACUCCCUUUUAGUUUUGUCCGUUAAUAUGUUGUAUUAUGCCACUCACAAGUGGGACACAGGGUCCACAUGUCAUGCACAGAGGUGGUGGGUUCGAACCCCACCACUUCCUUUUAGUUUUCUGUGUUAAUAUGUUGUAUUGUGCCACUUACAAGUGGGACACAGGGUCCACAUGUCAUGCACUAGGGACCUGGUAUCUAUGACCAGUGGGCCCUGGCUGUUUGGUUUAGUGUUCUUUUUUUCUCUUUAUUUAUUCUAUUGAGGUGAUAGAUUCCAUGUUUGGAAUAAUUCCUAAUAAGGAAUUUGCUUAUUCUGGCAUAUGCCAAAUUGGGAAGGCUCAAGAACAGCUCAUGUUCUUGACUAUGUGUUGUAGUUUUGAUUGUGUGUAGAUUUUCUUUUGUUGUUUGUAGAGCUUUUCUGUAUGCUAAGAUGGCACUAUGAUAUAUGGAUUUGGGGUAGAAGAAUCCAAGGAAUCCAAUGGUGUUUUUGGUUUCUGAUUUUGAGCAUUCAUGUAGAAAGUACCCUUGUGGUGAGGUGGCAAUAGUUUUAUCGAUGUAGGAUUAUUUUAUGUGCUUGUUUGGAGCAGUGCAUACAUGCAUCAUAUUGUCUGUUGCAUCAUUUGUUGCUGGUGUUUAUAGAUGUUUGUUUCUUUUGUGUUGUUACCGGGGCCGAAAACGAGUUCGAGGAGUCCGGAGAGUUCGUGCAAGAAGAACUAGAGCAGUUCUAGUGUGAAGAAAUCACAGGCAAGAUGAUCAUGGCCUUGAUACCGUUUCUAGCUUCGUUAUGCUUAGUGUUACGUUUCCUUCGUUACAUCUCCGCUGCCUACCACAUGAUAUAUAUGCCACCAAACAUUGCCAUGAAACCUCAAACACUUCCCCUCCUAGCAAAUAUUGUUUGGCUAGUAUAGGCUUGCUCAACCGCUAAUUGUUAGCGUUGCUAGUUGCAGGUGCCAGCUGAUCCAUGUGAUACAUGGACAAUUUGAUAUCAUCAUAUUUAACUACUAUUUAAUUAACGCACCUAUAUACUUGGUAAAUAACGGAAGGCCUAACCUUUUGCCGGGUGAUUUGUUCCGUUGUUGCCACCUUAGUUUUGGCUAUCGGUGUUUUAUUCCAUAAAUGAGCACAUCUAACACGUUCGAGGUUGUUAUGGGGACACCCUCGAUAAAUCGUAUAGUGUUAAGACUUGUCUUGCAAGACCCGACUUUGGUGUUAAUCUGGUAACAACUUAAUAAUUAAAUGCAUAGGGAAUAGCUACCCCGAGGAACUAAAUCAACCCCCGGGAGAGUGCUCCUCAUGAGUGUUGGUCAAACCCAGAGCCAUUUGCGGGGCGAACCCAGGGCAACCCGGGAGAUGUCUAUCAGGCCACUGUACGCUGUGCUUAUCCGACGUGUCCUGAGACAGAGAUACACGGCUCUUAUCAGGGUCGUCGACACAUCGGGCGGUCUUGCUAGACUUGUCUUACCUUAGCGAUAUAUCUUGCGCAUUGGGAUUCCGGUGAGACUUUGGGUCUUCUCAGAGUUUAGGUUUUCCUCUAAGGAAUCCGACGAGAUCACGAGUUUCGUGGUAGAGGAUUACUUUUAGGCCUGUGGUAAUUUGUGCUUGACUAGGUGGAGCACCCCUGCAGGAUUUAAUCUUUUGGAAAGUCAUGCCCGCGGUUAUGUGGGAAACAUGGAUAUUUUGUUAACAUCCGGUUCUAGACAACUUAAAGUAAUUGUAAUAAAACUUGCAAACUGAGUGCAUAACCGUGAUUGUCUCUUUCAGAGCUCCUUCUCUGAUCAAGAACACGAUGGGGUUAUGAAUGAUGUAAGUAGGUGUUCAGGAUCACUUAGUGAUCAUUCUAGUCUUCGAUCGUCUUACUAGACCACCACAUAUUAAUUUUGUUCAUCUUAAGAUAUCCACCAUAUAAGCUUAGGAUGCUUCAAACUCAAACACUCAACCUAUCUCACCCAUUUAACUCAGUUAGACUCGAUACCUAGGUCAUGAGAUUGCUGAGUCCUCGUGUCUCACGGUUUACUACAAACACCCACAGGUACAGGAACCCCUGAUGCAGGAGUUCCCGAUGCCAGCCAGCUGAAGUAGGAGUUCGAUGAGGACAGCGGCAGGUUGCAUGUGACUUAUCCCGAGAACUAAAGGUCGUGGUCGUGAUCGUGGGGCCAGCAUGCGGGAUAUCAUAGCUUUUGUUGUUUAUCUUUUCCUAGCCGGACCAUUCCAUGUUCUGAAUAAUGUAUGAAUGUAUGACUAUGUACUUUAUCAGAUGGAAAGUGUGUUCCCUACUCGUCACUCUUUCAGUUA